rnacentral:rRNA from 1 species
GACGAACCGAGCGAACGUUGUUCGGAAUCACUGGGCGUAAAGAGCUCGUAGGCGGCCUGUUGCGUCCGCUGUGAAAUCCCGGGGCUUAACCCCGGGCGUGCAGUGGAUACGGGCUGGCUGGAGGCAGGCAGGGGAGAACGGAAUUCCCGGUGUAGCGGUGAAAUGCGCAGAUAUCGGGAGGAACACCGGUGGCGAAGGCGGUUCUCUGGGCCUGUACUGACGCUGAGGAGCGAAAGCGUGGGGAGCGAACAGG